GGGUGGCCACUGGACAGCAGUAUCCAGUUACCUGGAAACCUAAUUAAGAAUAUACACUUUCACUCCCCUCCCCCACCCCCUGAAUCAGAAAUUCUGAGGGUCAAGUGCUCCAGUGUGCAUUUAAGAAACCCUCCGUCGAAUUUUGGUACAAGUCAAGUCUGAAACCCAUCGCUGUUUCCUUGCCCUGUUUCCUCUGUGUACCUGGCCCACACUGAAUUGUGACGGGUCAAUUGUGACGGGUCCCAGUAUGCUGGGGACCAUGGUAGGCACCAACUUGCAAAAGUCAAUUGGCUAGGAAGCCAAAAUGAUCCAAAUCAGAGUGUGGACUGGGGUCCAGAGCGUGAGAACUUUAUGUCACUUCCCAAAGCCUUCCAUGGCCAAAGUUCCAAGACUCUACAAAUGGGUCCGGUUCUCGUUGAUUUUUACGUCAGACGUGUAUCAAGAUUACAAAGCCCCAAACUAAAUUCUUGCAACGGGCAAGGAAGGCUUUGUGGCGUGGUAACACCUGAGUGAAAGUCUACUGGGAGUUUCCAGAAAAGUCUUUUGGAAACACAGAAUUACUCUUUCCUAGUGCAGUCCUUAUUUGAUUUGUUUGGACACCGGAAUUGAUACCUUGAAGCUUCAGCAUCCAUUAUGAGACCAAGGGAAAGGCAAUCAGGAACAUGGUGAGCUGGAUCCUGACAGCCUUGAGACACCGAGCCAGUGCCAGCCGCUCCCCGACUUCCUGUUACAUAAAGAAAAGAACAUGUCUAUGUAUCUAAACAACAACUGCAUGAAUUCUGAGAAGGACUUAUUAGUAAAAACAAAUCUGACAACAGGGUGUUGGGGUGA